rnacentral:rRNA from 1 species
UACGUAGGGGGCAAGCGUUGUCCGGAUUUAUUGGGCGUAAAGAGCGUGUAGGCGGCUUGACAGGUCUGCUGUGAAAACUCGAGGCUCAACCUCGAGAUGUCGGCGGAAACCGUCUGGCUAGAGUCCGGAAGAGGAGAGUGGAAUUCCUGGUGUAGCGGUGAAAUGCGCAGAUAUCAGGAGGAAUACCGGUGGCGAAGGCGGGUCUCUGGGCCGAUACUGACGCUGAGGAGCGAAAGCGUGGGGAGCGAACAGG